rnacentral:rRNA from 1 species
GAUCAUUAACAAUCUUACAAUCACAACGCGUGGCAUACACUCACUGAGCGCUGCAAGGUGCCAGCUGGGCUGUACGUCCAUGUCGUGCCGAUUACAUCCACUCUGUGAAACUUCCACUGUUGCUUCCAUGCGUAUUCCGGCCCUUGGGGUUGGCGCAUGGGACUACAAUCCAACACCGCGUUCUGUUGUUCAAGUCUGAGUGGUAAUCCACAACCAUAACAAGUUAAAACUUUCAACAACGGAUCUCUUGGUUCUCGCAUCGAUGAAGAACGCAGCGAAAUGCGAUAAGUAAUGUGAAUUGCAGAAUUCAGUGAAUCAUCGAAUCUUUGAACGCACAUUGCGCCUUCUGGUAUUCCGGGAGGCAUGCCUGUUCGAGCGUCAUGAAAAGCAUCCUCAAGCAAACUUUUGCUUGGUUGUGGAAGAAGAUGGCUCCCAUCUCUUCUGGAAACCCUCAGCAGAAGGCCUUGCAACCUCCAGUGUGAUAAAACCUAUUCACUUGAUGGUUACAAAGUUUUCUGGCUGUACAGAAAGCCCCCCCAGCAUUUUUCUACAUGUUUGACCUCGGAUCAGGUAGGGAUACCCGCUGAACUUAAGCAUAUCAAUAAGCGGAGGAAAAGAAACCAACCGGGAUUGCCUUAGUAACUGCGAGUGAAGCGGCAAAAGCUCAAAUUUGAAAUCCAGUACCCUUGGGUGCUCGAGUUGUAAUUUGGAGAGGCAACUUCGGAGAGGGCGUUGGCCUAAGUUCCUUGGAACAGGACGUCACAGAGGGUGAGAAUCCCGUGCUUGGCCGACUGUCCCUCUUCAUGUGAAGUGUCUUCGACGAGUCGAGUUGUUUGGGAAUGCAGCUCAAAAUGGGUGGUAAACUCCAUCUAAGGCUAAAUAUUGGCGAGAGACCGAUAGCGCACAAGUAGAGUGAUCGAAAGAUGAAAAGCACUUUGAAAAGAGAGUUAAAAAGUACGUGAAAUUGUUGAAAGGGAAGCGCUUGAGACCAGACUCAGUGCUAGGUGAUCAGCGGUACUUUUGUGCCGUGCACUUGCCUUUUACUGGGCCAGCAUCAGUUACAGCGGUGGGAUAAAGAUUCAGGGAAUGUGGCUCCCUUCGGGGAGUGUUAUAGCCCUGGAUGUAAUGCCACCUGUUGUGACUGAGGACCGCGCU